rnacentral:rRNA from 1 species
GAUGAACGCUAGCUACAGGCUUAACACAUGCAAGUCGAGGGGAAACGAUAUUGGAAGCUUGCUUCCGAUAGGCGUCGACCGGCGCACGGGUGAGUAACGCGUAUCCAACCUGCCCAUCACUUGGGGAUAACCUUGCGAAAGUAAGACUAAUACCCAAUGAUAUCUCUAGAAGACAUCUGAAAGGGAUUAAAGAUUUAUCGGUGAUGGAUGGGGAUGCGUCUGAUUAGCUUGUUGGCGGGGUAACGGCCCACCAAGGCGACGAUCAGUAGGGGUGCUGGGAGGAAGGUCCCCCACAUUGGAACUGGGACACGGACCAAACUCGUACGGGAGGCAGCAGUGAGGAAUAUUGGUCAAUGGACGAGAGUCUGAACCAGCCAAGUAGCGUGCAGGAUGACGGCCCUAUGGGUUGUAAACUGCUUUUAUAAGGGAAUAAAGUGAGCCUCGUGAGGCUUUUUGCAUGUACCUUAUGAAUAAGGGCCGGCUAAGUCCGUGCCAGCAGCCGCGGUAA